rnacentral:misc_RNA from 1 species
GGGGAAUCUGUUUGUUGUUUGUGUGAAAUCUGAUUACUUUGUUUGAAUUUGGUUAGAUAGUUUCAUAUGUUUUUUUUCCCCCUUUUCUGUACUCCACCACAAUUUAGUUGUACAUUUUCUUUUUUCAAUUUUCAACAUUGCCUUUAUUGGUUAGUUUACUUGUAAUGGUUAGUUGCUUUGCUUAGUAAAAACCCAACAACAAUAAUUUUACUUUUUCGUCGGUGGAAAUUUG